rnacentral:snRNA from 1 species
AUACCUUUGCCACCACAUUCGCUU